rnacentral:rRNA from 1 species
ACGAGUUUGAUAGGUCGGAGGUGUAAGUGCAGUAAUGUAUUUAGCUGACCGAUACUAAUAGACCGAGGGCUUGAACUU